UCGAGAGGAUGCACCUCUGACGUAACGGCACAAUAAAGUAGUCGCUAUAUAUCUGCUCGCUCUCACAAAUUUGAGAAAAGCGUCUUGUCGUGGCAGGGGACGUUAUACAUGGUUAUCCAAAUCUUGGAAUACGGACACUUAUAGGUCCCCCAUCACAUUACGUUUCUCAGAAAUGACCUGUGUUCAAAGUCAACAUGGAGUCCAGUCCUACGAGAGCUCCCUCUUCAGCUCAGAGUUUCUGAAUCCUGACUUCACCUCCAGGUUGGCCAUGGAUGUGACCGAGCAGCGGGAACAGCUCUCUGCGCCCUCCCUACCCAGCAUCACUUCUCUGGUUGGGGGAUACGUUGGCGAGUUUGACACCUACUCAUGCCAGAUCGCCACAGGAGCUGCUUCUACCUGUGUGGGCAGCACCUCCGGGCAGCUGGACUCCUUCAAGCUGGAUGACCUCCAGGUGUAUGGCUGCUACCCGGGCACGUUUGCUUUGAGCUACCUGGACGAGACGCUGUCCUCUUCGGGUGGGUCAAACUGCUUUGGAAGUCCGGCAUCUGCACCGUCUCCCUCCACCCCGGGAUACCAGCACAUGUCUGCAUGGGACAGCACCUUUGGUCCCUGCUCUCCUGACGAGGGUUGCUGGGGUUCUGAGAAGCCUCUGAACCAGGCAGCAUCUUUCUUCACAUUUGGGCACGUCACGGCUGAUGAGCUUUCCCCACUGGGACAGAUGCAGUCACAGAUCCCAGAUCAGGAUCCCUUUUCUCAUACUCCGCAACAUGGUUCUCCACUUCCCUUCAGUCCACUCAGCUUAGAGCAGGGCAGCCGGGAUGGAUCGGGACUGAUGGACGGACACUUGUCUCCUAAAGUGAGGAGCCCCACAGGAAAUGAGGGACGCUGCGCCGUGUGCGGAGACAAUGCUUCUUGUCAGCAUUACGGGGUGCGCACUUGUGAAGGAUGCAAAGGCUUUUUCAAGCGCACAGUACAGAAGAACGCCAAAUAUGUUUGUCUCGCCAACAAAGACUGUCCAGUGGAUAAAAGGCGGAGAAACAGAUGCCAGUUCUGCCGCUUCCAAAAGUGCCUAGCUGUGGGGAUGGUGAAGGAAGUUGUAAGAACAGACAGCCUGAAAGGAAGAAGGGGGCGUCUGCCAUCCAAACCCAAAGCUGUUCAGGACUCAGUGUCUGUCUCUUCACCUGUGAACAUCAUCGCCUCUCUCGUUACUGCCCAUAUCGACUCAAACCCUGCCAGUGCAAAUCUGGACUAUUCAAAGUAUCAGGAAUCAACAUCUGGAUUGCCUGAGAAGGAAGAUGCCAACGACAUACAGCAGUUUUAUGACCUGCUAACAGGGUCAAUGGAUGUGAUCAGGAAGUGGGCUGGAAGCAUCCCUGGAUUCAGUGCCUUUUGUAAGGAGGACCAAGAGCUUCUUCUGGAGUCAGCUUUUGUUGAGCUCUUCAUACUUCGUCUAGCUUACAGGUCAAACCCUGAGACAGACAAACUUAUUUUCUGCAAUGGUGUGGUUUUGCACCGGACGCAGUGCGUACGAAGCUUUGGUGAUUGGAUUGACUCAAUUAUGGAGUUCUCUCAGAGUUUACAUCGCUUGAAUUUGGACAUAUCUGCUUUUUCCUGUCUUGCCACACUGGUCAUAAUCACAGAUCGACAUGGCCUGAAAGAGCCCAAACGGAUCGAAGACUUCCAAAACCGUUUGAUCACAUGUCUCAGAGACCACGUCUCCACAAGUGCCCUUGAGGUCGGCCGGCCCAACUCUCUGUCCCGACUGCUGAGCAAGCUCCCAGAGCUGAGAACACUGUGCACCCAAGGCCUCCAGCGAAUCUUCUAUCUCAAACUGGAAGACUUGGUCCCACCUCCACCCAUUGUGGAUAAAAUCUUCAUGGACACGUUGCCAUUCUGAAUGUGACUUUAUAAAUGGACAACCAGGGUGAUGAACUGAGGAUAUGGGAUGUUUGGGGAGCUCUUAAGGGUCUGACUAGUCAAAGGACUUUAUCGCUUACGGUUUCUCUGCUUUCUUGGAAAGGGAGUCAGAGAAGGAUGACAUUCUACUUAACGCCUGUGUUUGAAGACCUUCAUCGCAUCGUCUUCAACACUGAACCUACUAAGUGACUGUAUGCAUUCAAUAGACAUGUCAUUAUCAGACAUGGACUUUCAAAUCUUAGUGUGUUUCAAGCUGAAAUGGUGGCUUUAGUCGGUAACAUUUCAGGUCAAUGGUGCAAAUCAAAUGCUCUACAUGUGUGACUUCUGAAAGAAAUGAUAUUCCCAUCAGUAUUACACCAAUGUUCAGAGAGCAUAUUCCAGAUGAACAGCAUCCAAAGAUCCAUCUUCAAGAAAGAAAGGCCAUGGACCAAAACAAGGAGUAGAAACAGCAUUUAUUUGGAUGCUUAAAUGAUCAGACAAAGCCUUAAAUACAUUCAAGUGCCGAAGCAUUAUCUAUCUUAAAGGGGCUAUAUGUAGAAUCCAGAAUCUAAGGCCACUGGCUUUUUAAUUAACCAGUCAUCGUCUUAUUCACAACACAAAAUAGACAACCUAGGUCUCAUUUUCAAGUUUUAUUACAAGAUUAAUACAUCCAGUCCCUUUAAAAACGCUCAAAAAUGUGCUCAAACAGAAAAACACUCAAACACUUGAGAACAGGAUUGAUGUGAAUGCGUGUAUUUUAACAGUGAUUAGUUCAUAUAAAAGGUGGUGUGAGAUCCAGUGCAGCUACUGUACAUGUACAGCCUCGUACACAUGCAAAUACUUGGAGUAUUACAGAUGCCUGGCUUAGUGUGCGGUACCAGUCAGACUAUAGAAGAAUCAUAUUUGUAUGUAUGUAUUUUGAGGAUGUAAAUGUUUGUUUAGAGCUUCUGCAGACUAUUUUUUUUCCGCAUAUUGAAAAUCAAGAUCGGGCAUUCUCAGUUUUUUAUAUAUAUAAAAUGAGAGGUAUUGCUUAUCUUUCAUUCAUUUUGUGCAGCUCUAUAUGGAAUAAAUUUGAAACUAAUCAU